rnacentral:pre_miRNA from 1 species
UGAUGAUGAUGAUGAUGAUGAUGGCGAUGAUAAUGAUGAUGAUGAUUCAGAUGGCUGCAUGAAGGAUAAUGAUGUUGAUGAUAGCCAACAUCACCUCCAGCACCACACACCACCACCAACACCACUAUCAUCAUCCUCAUUAUCAUCAUCAUCAUCAUCAUCAUCA